UUAAUUUGGCUUUCCCUGGCUCUGAAUUCCAGUUAUUGUUUCAUGUUGAACAUGAGGUCAUGUGGGCUGACCUGUGUUGGUGAGCAUGUUAUAUUUUAGCCAAUCCUCCUUUAUACUGAGGUCAGUGACACAUCUUCCAGGAAGACCAAGCUGUAUUAUUCAUCUGCUUACUUUUCCAGUUUCUGUCAUUACCAGAUACACAAUAUUGUACAUCAUUUCCUUUGUGGCCCUCUAUUUUUGUCAUUUAGAAUGGCAUAGUUCUUAGUUUUCUUCUGCAGAUGGAAUGGCAGGAUUUUUCAUCUCUGAGGCUGCUAGCUCUUCUUGCCUCCGUUGGCUUUCCAGUUUCCUUGGAAAAUUUAUUCCUGUGAAGUCAUAAAGUGCUUGAAGAACUUAAUUCAUUGUCCUCUCAGUCUGCAAAUUGUAUUGGCUGCAGUAGAACUGAGCAGUGGUGGAAGCUCUAAGUUGUGCACGUCCCAAGUGUUUGAAGCAGUCCUGCUCUCGCAGAUAAGUCUUUCUUUUCUUAUCAUCUCACAGAUCUGCUCUGUUUCUGUAUCUGCCUCUUACAGAACACGGCCUGUUUGUGUUCUGGGAACACAAAAUGUAUUUGUGAAAUUCUUUCCUGUUUUAGAAAAAGGUGGCCUUUGGUCAAUUGUACUUUUUCUCUUCUGCGAGUUCCAGCUCAAAUCAGACCAGUCAUUUUUUAGCUCUCUUGUGCACUGACUGCCAUGCACAGUAUUUUCCCAAACUCAAUAUUCUCUCCUUUCUAUCUGCUUUUGAGCUUGAGAUCUCUCAAUUGGUAUUUCUAUAUGCGUUUCCUCAUCUGGAGUUUCCAUUUGCUGUUAAUUUAUGUCUAUUCAGAUCCACUCUCAGCAGUUUGGGGUUUUUUUGCCUUCACAUUUCUGCUGAGAAUUUUAAUGGAGUGUUUUCUCAAAGUAUUGUUUGUUUUGGCAGAGGGAGUUGUGUUGUUUUAUGCCAAGGCCACCUUAAACAGGCUGAAAUGUGUCCUUGGGGUGACGAGAGGCAUUUGAGACAUUUCUAAGAUGAUGUACAUAACUCUCUCAGCACGACAAUCCAUUGAAGACAUUUGUUAUUUGCAGUCUUUGACUACCUCUUUCAUGUGCUGCCUGAAUCUGAUAAGCUCCACCAGUUGGGAGUAGUGACUCAGCUCAAGAAAUAAAACCAGCUAUUGCAAUCACAGGAUACAGCCUUUGUGUUGUGAGAAGUGCAGUUCUUGUGGCCUAAAGGAAUUCUGGCCGUCUCAGCUGUGCGAUGGAUCUGGAAAAGGAGAAAAUUCCUCCAGUUUUGUGCUUCUGUUGGCUUCUGUAAACUGUGGAUCAGUUCCUCCAUUAAAUGGGAUAUGCCAGCAAGGUGGAUGGACAUCCAUUUUCAGGAAGGAACAUGAAAGACACAUCUGGAAACUGUUGCAGGAGAAUCUCAUGCAUGAUGCAGCUGAGGUGCUUCGGAUCCCUGGUUUUCUCUGCUGGCCAUGUUCUUCAUGUGGGCUGUGCAACAGAUGCAGAUGAUAGAGAAGAUGGAGGAAUAACUUUAGGAUAUCCGUAUGGGUGUCCUGCAGCCAUUAAGCACAAGAAGAGAUGACUUUCAUCAAGAGAGGUAGCCAAACUAGUCAAGGAGAUACUGUGUCACCCUGGUGAUUCAAGGGGAAAAAGAAUAAUCUUGACUUUCUGUAGAAGUUUAAAUGAAAACUUAAAGGUGCCAGCCAUUUCUACAGGGUGGAGAGGCUGCUCUUUAAUGAAGGAAUGACACAAAUCCUUUUGCUAACCACAGCACAAGAUUCUCUGUUUUGUUAUCUUCAUGGAAUAUUAAAGCAAUUUAAUACAUUGAAACAAUAUUGCAAAGCUUACGGUUGUAAAGUCUUUGAAUCUAAUUAUGCCCUACCUAUCUUUCUUCUACCAAAGUCUAAAGUUGCUCACAGCUCAAGCUCUAGUUCCUAGCCACCAACUUCCUCCUACCAUCAACGGAGAUAAAAGCAUGUCAUCUCACAGCACUUUGUUCUAUUCUUAGAGGGUACCUAAUGAGUGUCCUAUUUGACCAGACACCUUCAUUACCAAUGUUGGUUUCAGGUGAGGUGAAGCCAUUCUGUUCCAUGGCUGUCUUUUUACCUCAACUACAGCUAAUCAGAAGAGGAUCAAACAGAUCUCUUAAAAUGCCCACACAGAAAUUACUCAGUAAAGUGAAACAUUUUGUAACACUUUCUUGCCUUUUUCUCUCCUGAAGCAAUGAUUAUCAUCUCUUAAUUGAGUUGUCACAUAUUCCAAGGUGUGUUGGUGACAGCUUUACAGGUUGUCAUUUGUGCACUAAUCAUGUCUCAAUAACUUAAAAUGUUUUGGAGUCCAUCCACUUUGGCUUUUCUCUAGAUUUUUCAUGGCAUCGAAAAAUGCAGUUGGACAUUUAUCCUACUCAUUGGAGUCCUCAAUUUUAUUUCCAUCUGGUAUUUCCAUUCCAGUAUUUGUGGGGCAGUUAACUUGGCUGAGGAAAGUGGUACGUAAUUGGUCCUUUGAACUUAGUAUCUACUUAAUAGAUAAGUUCCAUUUGAUCACACUUCCAAAAUCUCUAUUCUUUUGGGUUACUUUUUUCUUUUAGGAACUCCACAUUUUACUUAAACAGUUAUUUACAAUAUUUAUUAUGCACAUGGUCUUAUUCUGCCAGUCUCAAAGUGCUUCUCAAAAAGCAAGCAGAUAUAAUUCAAUAGCACAGUAGACAGUGACUGGAUCCUGAUGCCAGAAAUCAGUGAAUUAUGUUGGACAUCUGCCACAUGGAUGGUUGUUAUCCAGUCUGCAAGGGUCACCACAAAUGCCUUUCAGAAUUCUGUGUUUCUUGCAGGAUUGUCCAACUGGCUAGGAAGAGUGGAUGUAUUUAGGGCGAUUUCAGACUGGUUGAUAAGGAUGGGGCUGGAAACUCCCCAGUGGGUCCUUAUUUCCAUUAUGUCUCCCAUGUGACUGGAUCUGCUCAGAAGUUUUUAGGAUGCUCCAAGUGAUGGUGUUUCAUGAAUCAGCACCAGGAGAAAGAGCCCACCCUUGUCUGCUCUGCAGGCCACAAAGACCAGCAGGAUAUGAAACAACACUUCCACUAUCUCUCCUCCAAGCCACUACAUCAGAAAUAUUA